rnacentral:tRNA from 1 species
GUCCAGGGAUGGGAAUCGAACCCACAGUGUUCCGAUUACCAGGCAGAUGCCAUGUCCACUAGGCUACCCUGGA